GAUGAACGCUAGCUACAGGCUUAACACAUGCAAGUCGCGGGGCAGCAUGGGGGUUGCUUGCCAUCCCCGAUGGCGACCGGCGCACGGGUGAGUAACGCGUAUUCAACCUGCCCUUCACCACGGGAUAACCCGGCGAAAGUCGGACUAAUACCGUAUGUUGUCCAUUGACGGCAUCCGAUUUGGACGAAAGGCUUGGCGGUGAGGGAUGGGGAUGCGUCCGAUUAGCCAGACGGCGGGGUAACGGCCCACCGUGGCUACGAUCGGUAGGGGUUCUGAGAGGAAGGUCCCCCACACUGGAACUGAGACACGGUCCAGACUCCUACGGGAGGCAGCAGUGAGGAAGAUUGGUCAAUGGGCGUAAGCCUGAACCAGCCAAGUAGCGUGCAGGAGGACGGCCCUAUGGGUUGUAAACUGCUUUUAUGCGGGGAUAAAGUGGCCCACGUGUGGGCUUUUGCAGGUACCGCAUGAAUAAGGACCGGCUAAUUCCGUG
rnacentral:rRNA from 1 species